rnacentral:rRNA from 1 species
CCUGGCUCAGGAUGAACGCUAGCUACAGGCUUAACACAUGCAAUGUCGACGGGGCAGCGAUGGUACUUAGCGUUGCUAAGGCCGAUGGCGACCGGCGCACGGGUGAGUAACACGUAUCCAACCUGCCGUCUACUCUUGGACAGCCUUCUGAAAGGAAGAUUAAUACAAGAUGGCAUCAUGAGUCCGCAUGUUCACAUGAUUAAAGGUAUUCCGGUAGACGAUGGGGAUGCGUUCCAUUAGAUAGUAGGCGGGGUAACGGCCCACCUAGUCUUCGAUGGAUAGGGGUUCUGAGAGGAAGGUCCCCCACAUUGGAACUGAGACACGGUCCAAACUCCUACGGGAGGCAGCAGUGAGGAAUAUUGGUCAAUGGGCGAGAGCCUGAACCAGCCAAGUAGCGUGAAGGAUGACUGCCCUAUGGGUUGUAAACUUCUUUUAUAAAGGAAUAAAGUCGGGUAUGGAUACCCGUUUGCAUGUACUUUAUGAAUAAGGAUCGGCUAACUCCGUGCCAGCAGCCGCGGUAAUACGGAGGAUCCGAGCGUUAUCCGGAUUUAUUGGUUUAAAGGGAGCGUAGAUGGAUGUUUAAGUCAGUUGUGAAAGUUGCGGCUCAACCGUAAAAAUUGCAGUUGAUACUGGAUAUCUUGAGUGCAGUGACGGCAGGCGGAAUUCGUGGUGUAGCGGUGAAAUGCUUAGAUAUCACGAAGAACUCCGAUUGCGAAGGCAGCCUGCUAAGCUGCAACUGACAUUGAGGCUCGAAAGUGUGGGUAUCAAACAGGAUUAGAUACCCUGGUAGUCCACACGGUAAACGAUGAAUACUCGCUGUUUGCGAUAUACUGCAAGCGGCCAAGCGAAAGCGUUAAGUAUUCCACCUGGGGAGUACGCCGGCAACGGUGAAACUCAAAGGAAUUGACGGGGGCCCGCACAAGCGGAGGAACAUGUGGUUUAAUUCGAUGAUACGCGAGGAACCUUACCCGGGCUUAAAUUGCAGAUGAAUUACGGUGAAAGCCGUAAGCCGCAAGGCAUCUGUGAAGGUGCUGCAUGGUUGUCGUCAGCUCGUGCCGUGAGGUGUCGGCUUAAGUGCCAUAACGAGCGCAACCCUUGUUGUCAGUUACUAACAGGUUCCGCUGAGGACUCUGACAAGACUGCCAUCGUAAGAUGUGAGGAAGGUGGGGAUGACGUCAAAUCAGCACGGCCCUUACGUCCGGGGCUACACACGUGUUACAAUGGGGGGUACAGAGGGCCGCUACCACGCGAGUGGAUGCCAAUCCCCAAAACCUCUCUCAGUUCGGACUGGAGUCUGCAACCCGACUCCACGAAGCUGGAUUCGCUAGUAAUCGCGCAUCAGCCACGGCGCGGUGAAUACGUUCCCGGGCCUUGUACACACCGCC